UACGAAGGGAGCUAGCGUUGUUCGGAAUCACUGGGCGUAAAGCGCACGUAGGCGGAUGUGUCAGUCAGGGGUGAAAUCCCGGAGCUCAACUUCAGAACUGCCUUUGAUACAGCACGUCUUGAGUCCGAUAGAGGUGGGUGGAAUUCCUAGUGUAGAGGUGAAAUUCGUAGAUUUUAGGAAGAACACCGGUGGCGAAGGCGGCUCACUGGACCGGUAUUGACGCUGAGGUGCGAAAGCGUGGGGAGCAAACAGG
rnacentral:rRNA from 1 species